rfam:Ipomoea nil DNA, scaffold: scaffold0382, cultivar: Tokyo-kokei standard.
UACGCAGGGAUAUGUGUGUAUCGGCUUUGUGACACUUAAGUAAUGCACUUUGACCGAAAGAGUUCUCUGCUAAAUUGUGUAUUGGGGAAGAUGGGCAGUUGUGUUUUAUCCUUAGUUGAAAUCUUUCAACAAUCAUCUUCCUUACAUUU